CGGCGUGUAGCGCAGCCUGGGAGCGCGCCUGCUUCGGGAGCAGGAGGUCCGGCCUCUGUGCGAAAGCACAGGAGCGCGCACGGCGCGCGAUAGGCCGGAAUUCUGUUCAAUCCUGGCCACGCCGACCA
rnacentral:tRNA from 1 species